rnacentral:rRNA from 1 species
GAUGAACGCUGGCGGCGUGCUUAACACAUGCAAGUCGAACGAAGCACUUUAUUUGAUUUCCUUCGGGACUGAUUAUUUUGUGACUGAGUGGCGGACGGGUGAGUAACGCGUGGGUAACCUGCCUUGUACAGGGGGAUAACAGUUGGAAACGGCUGCUAAUACCGCAUAAGCGCACGGCAUCGCAUGAUGCAGUGUGAAAAACUCCGGUGGUAUAAGAUGGACCCGCGUUGGAUUAGCUAGUUGGUGAGGUAACGGCCCACCAAGGCGACGAUCCAUAGCCGACCUGAGAGGGUGACCGGCCACAGUGGGACUGAGACACGGCCCAAACUCCUACGGGAGGCAGCAGUGGGGAAUAUUGCACAAUGGGCGAAAGCCUGAUGCAGCGACGCCGCGUGAGCGAAGAAGUAUUUCGGGAUGUAAAGCCCUAUCAGCAGGGAAGAUAAUGACGGUACCUGACUAAGAAGCACCGGCUAAAUACGUG